rnacentral:rRNA from 1 species
AUUGAACGCUGGCGGCAGGCCUAACACAUGCAAGUCGAGCGGAUGCAUGGAGCUUGCUGUCUGAUUCAGCGGCGGACGGGUGAGGAGUGCCUAGGGAUCUGCCUGGUAGUGGGGGACCACGGUGCGAAAGGAACUCUAAUACCUCAUACGUCCUACGGGAGACAGUGGGGGCUCUUCGGACCUCAUGACAUCCGAUGAGCCUAGGUACGAUUAGCGAGGUGGUGGGGUACAGGCUCACAAAGGCGACGAUCGUUAACUGGUACGAAAGGAUGAUCAGUCACACUGUAACUGAGUAUCGUGCCAGACUCCUACGGGAGGCAGCAGUGGGGAAUAUUGUACAAUGGGCGAAAGCCUGAUCCAGCCAUGCCGCGUGUGUGAAGAAGGUCUUCGGAUUGUAAAGCACUUUAAGUUGGGAGGAAGGGCAGUAAGUUAAUACCUUGCUGUUUUGACGUUACCGACAGAAUAAGCACCGGCUAACUUCGUGCCAGCAGCCGCAGUAACAC